CGAGCACGCGCGUGUGGCAUAUCAAUAAGCGGAGGAAAAGAAACUAACAAGGAUUCCCUUAGUAACGGCGAGUGAAGCGGGAAGAGCUCAAAUUUGAAAUCUUCAAGGUUCUACCUUGACGAAUUGUAGUUUAUAGAAGUGUUUUCUGUUAGUGGAGUGGCAAAAGUUCUUUGGAAUAGGACAUCACUAGAGGGUGAGAAUCCCGUAUUUGGUCAUUCCUCCUAGCGUUGUGAUACACUUUCAACGAGUCGGAUUGUUUGGGAAUGCAGUCCAAAAUGGGUGGUAAAUUUCAUCUAAAGCUAAAUAUUGGCGAGAGACCGAUAGCGAACAAGUACCGUGAGGGAAAGAUGAAAAGAACUUUGAAAAGAGAGUUAAACAGUACGUGAAAUUGUCAAAAGGGAAGCGUUUGACACCAGUGUUGUUUUUCCGAAAAUCAUAUUACGAAUGUUUUGUUUUUGAGGAGUUAUGACUUCAUCGGCUUGCUCCUUUCUUUAUGAAACUUUCUUAAUGCACUUUUCGGUUAACAAGUCAACAUCAAUUUCUUUUGUUGUAAAAGGGUAUGAGGAAGGUGGCUUUCUUUUCGGAGAAAGUGUUUAUAGCCUUGUGCCUCUACAAUCGGAGAGAUUGAGGUCUGCAGCGUAGAUCCUUCGGGGUUAGAUACGUUUGUGCUAAGUUAUAGCUUUUCAUAAACAACUUGUUGACUAUGUUUAGUCUUGUAGCUUACUCGCUGACGCUAUUUUACCUACGCUUAGGAUGUUGAUGUGAUACUGCGAGCA
rnacentral:rRNA from 1 species